GUGGGCAUGGAAGUCAUCUUUGUUUUUACAGAGGAAGAGGCGUUCCCGCCCCCACCCCUGGCUCCAGAUCAGCCAGGUCUUGCUCCCAGCUAAAGAAGCCAACGAGAGAGAGCCUAGGAAGAGAGCUUGCAGACGUGGGAGAUGCUGACCUAUGCCUUGGCGCUUUCCAGAUUACACACUGCAACAGAGGAAGACCCUCAAGACUCUCUGGUUCUUGCAAGCUUUUAAUUAGAAUUAAUUUUAAUUGUUUGAAAUAAUAACUGUUUUAUGCUAUAUAUUUUAAUCUGUGUUGACUUUUAAAUAUUUUUGAAUAACUUUGAACACCACCUAGAGAUGUACAUAGCAGG